CGGGGAAUUUUGGACAAUGGGCGCAAGCCUGAUCCAGCCAUUCCGCGUGCAGGACGAAGGCGUUCGGGUUGUAAACUGCUUUUGUACGGAACGAAAAGGCUCUGGCUAAUACCUGGGGCUCAUGACGGUACCGGAAGAAUAAGCACCGGCUAACUACGUGCCAGCAGCCGCGGUAAUACGUAGGGUGCAAGCGUUAAUCGGAAUUACUGGGCGUAAAGCGUGCGCAGGCGGUUAUGUAAGACAAAGGUGAAAUCCCCGGACUCAACCUGGGGACUGCCUUUGUGACUGCAUAGCUCGAGUACGGCAGAGGGGGAUGGAAUUCCGCGUGUAGCAGUGAAAUGCGUAGAUAUGCGGGGGAACACCGAUGGCGAAGGCAAUCCCCUGGGCCUGUACUGACGCGCAUGCACGAAAGCGUGGGGAGCAAACAG
rnacentral:rRNA from 1 species